UAGCGUGGUGGACCUGUCAGAGUCCGGAACGACACAUUUUCUUUGUUUAAAGUUCUUUCAUUGUCCUCAGAGUUAUAUACUCUUCUGAUUAUCAGUGUCUCCUCUUCUUACAUUGUCCAGUCGCCACCUUGGCUCUAAGAUUAUUCGCCAUUCUCUGGCCCUCCACGUGAUAAUCUGUCCAGCAGUCUGAUUUUGGGUCUGAUUGUGUCUAUCUGACUCUUUGCAAUCCUUGCGAGUCACUCUCUUCUCAAUUUUGUGUGUGCAAUCCCAGAAGCCACACGUUGUCUCUGAAUACAAUAUUCAUUCAUCCAUCAGCCUACAGUCAGGCUACGAGAAAUUUAAUUCAAGGGUUCCAUCAAGGGAACAUUUGGUCCUUCGAACCGGAGUGUGAGUCACCUCCGAUAUCUCCUUCUGGAUCUCCAGUAACUCAAAAUCCAACCAGCCGAGUCCUCUCCAGCUGACUGCCGUCUCAAUUUCAAAUUUCAGCCAGUCGAGCCCUCUUACUGGCAGCUAUAUUCAGACGAGUUUCGU